GCCUUGCUAGCUCAAUCGGUAGAGCGUGAGACUCUUAAAUAAGAGCACGAUCUCAAGGUUGUGGGUUCGACCCCCACGUAGGGCU